GAUGAACGCUGGCGGCGUGCUUAACACAUGCAAGUCGAACGAGGAAGAGUUGAAUGAGAGCUUCGGGCAGGAUUUCUUCUCAUCUUAGUGGCGGACGGGUGAGUAACGCGUGAGCAAUCUGCCCUUAAGAGGGGGACAACAGUUGGAAACGACUGCUAAUACCGCAUAAUGUAUUAGAAUCGCAUGGUUUUAAUACCAAAGGAGAAAUCCGCUUUUGGAUGAGCUCGCGUCUGAUUAGCUAGUUGGUGGGGUAACGGCCUACCAAGGCGACGAUCAGUAGCCGGACUGAGAGGAUGAACGGCCACAUUGGGACUGAGAUACGGCCCAGACUCCUACGGGAGGCAGCAGUGGGGGAUAUUGCGCAAUGGGGGCAACCCUGACGCAGCAACGCCGCGUGAAGGAAGAAGGUUUUCGGAUCGUAAACUUCUUUAAGUGGGGAAGAUAGUGACGGUACCCACAGAAUAAGCCACGGCUAACUACGUG
rnacentral:rRNA from 1 species